CGGGGUGUAGCGCAGCUUGGUAGCGCGUUUGGUUCGGGACCAAAAGGUCGGAGGUUCAAAUCCUCUCACCCCGA
rnacentral:tRNA from 1 species